CGGCGGACGGGUGAGUAACGCGUGGGUAACCUGCCUCAUACAGGGGGAUAACAGUUGGAAACGGCUGCUAAUACCGCAUAAGCGCACAGUACCGCAUGGUACGGUGUGAAAAACUCCGGUGGUAUGAGAUGGACCCGCGUCUGAUUAGGUAGUUGGUGGGGUAACGGCCUACCAAGCCGACAAUCAGUAGCCGACCUGAGAGGGUGACCGGCCACAUUGGGACUGAGACACGGCCCAA
rnacentral:rRNA from 1 species